GACGAACGCUGGCGGCGUGCUUAACACAUGCAAGUCGAACGCGAAAUUUUUUCUUCGGAGAAAAGAGUAGAGUGGCGCACGGGUGAGUAACGCGUAAGUUAUCUACCCUCCCAUCUGGAAUAACUCACCGAAAGGUGUGCUAAUACCGGAUACGUUGAUUUAUCAAGAAAGGUGGCCUCUAUUUAUAAGCUACCGUGGGGGGAUGAGCUUGCGUACCAUUAGCUAGUUGGUAGGGUAAUGGCCUACCAAGGCAGCGAUGGUUAGCGGGUCUGAGAGGAUGAUCCGCCACACUGGAACUGGAACACGGACCAG
rnacentral:rRNA from 1 species